GUGUAGUCCACCAUCAACACGUCGUCCCAAUUCUUGAACUUGGCCUUGAACACCUGCCGAGGGGACGUGGAGUGGGAAUUGGGCACAGGUGAGGUUACC